rnacentral:rRNA from 1 species
UACGUAGGGGGCAAGCGUUAUCCGGAUUUACUGGGUGUAAAGGGAGCGUAGACGGAAUUGCAAGUCUGAUGUGAAAAUCCGGGGCCCAACCCCGGAACUGCAUUGGAAACUGUAUUUCUAGAGUGUCGGAGAGGCAAGUGGAAUUCCUGGUGUAGCGGUGAAAUGCGUAGAUAUCAGGAGGAACACCAGUGGCGAAGGCGGCUUGCUGGACGAUGACUGACGUUGAGGCUCGAAAGCGUGGGGAGCAAACA